rnacentral:rRNA from 1 species
GACGAACGCUGGCGGCGUGCUUAACACAUGCAAGUCGAACGGAAAGGCCCUGCUUUUGUGGGGUGCUCGAGUGGCGAACGGGUGAGUAACACGUGAGUAACCUGCCCUUGACUUUGGGAUAACUUCAGGAAACUGGGGCUAAUACCGGAUAGGAGCUCCUGCUGCAUGGUGGGGGUUGGAAAGUUUCGGCGGUUGGGGAUGGACUCGCGGCUUAUCAGCUUGUUGGUGGGGUAGUGGCUUACCAAGGCUUUGACGGGUAGCCGGCCUGAGAGGGUGACCGGCCAAAUUGGGAGUGAGAUACGGCCCGGACCCCUACGGGGGGAAGGAGUGGGGAAUAUUGCCAAAUGGGCGGAGGCCGGAUGCAGAAACGCCGGGUGGGGAAAGGCGGCCUUGGGGUUGUAAACCGUUUUCGCCUGUAAAGAAGCGUGGGGGGCGGUAAUGGGAAAAAAAGCACGGGCUAACUACGU